UGGGAAAUUUUGGACAAUGGGCGCAAGCCUGAUCCAGCCAUGCCGCGUGCGGGAAGAAGGCCUUCGGGUUGUAAACCGCUUUUGUCAGGGAAGAAACGCUCUGGGCUAAUACCCUGGGGUAAUGACGGUACCUGAAGAAUAAGCACCGGCUAACUACGUGCCAGCAGCCGCGGUAAUACGUAGGGUGCAAGCGUUAAUCGGAAUUACUGGGCGUAAAGCGUGCGCAGGCGGUCUUGCAAGACAGGUGUGAAAUCCCCGGGCUUAACCUGGGAACUGCAUUUGUGACUGCAAGGCUAGAGUACGGUAGAGGGGGAUGGAAUUCCGCGUGUAGCAGUGAAAUGCGUAGAUAUGCGGAGGAACACCGAUGGCGAAGGCAAUCCCCUGGACCUGUACUGACGCUCAUGCACGAAAGCGUGGGGAGCAAACAGGAUUAGAUACCCCCGUAGUCCCUGAGCGGGCUGGCAAGGCGCAU
rnacentral:rRNA from 1 species